rnacentral:rRNA from 1 species
UAAUACGUAGGUGGCAAGCGUUGUCCGGAAUUAUUGGGCGUAAAGGGCUCGCAGGCGGUUUCUUAAGUCUGAUGUGAAAGCCCCCGGCUCAACCGGGGAGGGUCAUUGGAAACUGGGAAACUUGAGUGCAGAAGAGGAGAGUGGAAUUCCACGUGUAGCGGUGAAAUGCGUAGAGAUGUGGAGGAACACCAGUGGCGAAGGCGACUCUCUGGUCUGUAACUGACGCUGAGGAGCGAAAGCGUGGGGAGCGAACAGGAUUAGAUACCCUGGUAGUCCACGCCGUAAACGAUGAGUGCUAAGUGUUAGGGGGUUUCCGCCCCUUAGUGCUGCAGCUAACGCAUUAAGCACUCCGCCUGGGGAGUACGGUCGCAAGACUGAAACUCAAAGGAAUUGACGG